AACGAACGCUGGCGGCAUGCCUAACACAUGCAAGUCGAACGAGACCUUCGGGUCUAGUUGCGCACGGGUGCGUAACGCGUCGGAACCUUCCCUUAUGUUCGGACUAACUCUCCGCAAGGGGUGCUAAUACCGGAUAAUGUCUUCGGACCAAAGAUUUAUCGCCUUUGGAUGGGCCCGCGUUGGAUUAGCUAGUUGGUAAGAUAAAAGCCUACCAAGGCGACGAUCCAUAGCUGGUCUGAGAGGAUGGUCAGCCACACUGGGACUGAGACACGGCCCAGACUACUACGGAAGGCAGCAGUGGGGAAUAUUGGACAAUGGGCGAAAGCAUGAUCCAGUAAUGCCGCGUGAGUGAUGAAGGCCUGAAGGUUGUAAAGCUCUUUUACACGGGAUGAUAAUGACAGUACCGGGAGAAUAAGCUCCGGCUAACUCCGUG
rnacentral:rRNA from 1 species